UACGUAGGGUGCAAGCGUUGUCCGGAUUUAUUGGGCGUAAAGAGCUCGUAGGCGGUCUGUCGCGUCGGAUGGGAAAACCCAGGGCUCAACCCUGGGCCUGCAUUCGAUACGGGCAGACUAGAGUACGGCAGGGGAGACUGGAAUUCCUGGUGUAGCGGUGAAAUGCGCAGAUAUCAGGAGGAACACCGGUGGCGAAGGCGGUUCUCUGGGCAUUACCUGACGCUGAGGAGCGAAAGUGUGGGGAGCGAACAGG
rnacentral:rRNA from 1 species